rnacentral:rRNA from 1 species
CCUCCCGAGUGCUUGCACUCAAUUGGAAAGAGGAGUGGCGGACGGGUGAGUAACACGUGGGUAACCUACCCAUCAGAGGGGGAUAACACUUGGAAACAGGUGCUAAUACCGCAUAACAGUUUAUGCCGCAUGGCAUAAGAGUGAAAGGCGCUUUCGGGUGUCGUUGAUGGAUGGACCCGCGGUGCAUUAGCUAGUUGGUGAGGUAACGGCUCACCAAGGCCACGAUGCAUAGCCGACCUGAGAGGGUGAUCGGCCACACUGGGACUGAGACACGGCCCAGACUCCUACGGGAGGCAGCAGUAGGGAAUCCUCGGCAAUGGACGAAAGUCUGACCGAGCAACGCCGCGUGAGUGAAGAAGGUUUUCGGAUCGUAAAACUCUGUUGUUAGAGAAGAACAAGGACGUUAGUAACUGAACGUCCCCUGACGGUAUCUAACCAGAAAGCCACGGCUAACUACGUGCCAGCAGCCGCGGUAAUACGUAGGUGGCAAGCGUUGUCCGGAUUUAUUGGGCGUAAAGCGAGCGCAGGCGGUUUCUUAAGUCUGAUGUGAAAGCCCCCGGCUCAACCGGGGAGGGUCAUUGGAAACUGGGAGACUUGAGUGCAGAAGAGGAGAGUGGAAUUCCAUGUGUAGCGGUGAAAUGCGUAGAUAUAUGGGGGACACCAGUGGCGAAGGCG